rnacentral:rRNA from 1 species
UGGGGAAUAUUGGACAAUGGGGGCAACCCUGAUCCAGCCAUGCCGCGUGAGUGAUGAAGGCCUUCGGGUUGUAAGGCUCUUUUGGCGGGACUGAUGAUGACGGUACCCGCAGAAUAAGCCCCGGCUAACUUCGUGCCAGCAGCCGCGGUAAGACGAAGGGGGCUAGCGUUGUUCGGAAUUACUGGGCGUAAAGCGAGUGUAGGCGGUUGCCGUAGUCAGGUGUGAAAGCCUUGAGCUCAACUCAAGAAAUGCACUUGAUACUGGGUGACUAGAGGACCGGAGAGGAUAGUGGAAUUCCCAGUGUAGUGGUGAAAUACGUAGAGAUUGGGAAGAACACCAGUGGCGAAGGCGGCUAUCUGGACGUUACUGACGCUAAGACUCGAAAGCGUGGGG